AUGUUCUAGAGGGGAGGGAAUGAAGAGUGAAGGCAAUGAGUUCAACCCAAAACAUUUCCAGAUUAGACAAAUUACCCCAUUGGGCAGUUUCUUGCCUUCCUCCCUCAAUGUGCUCAACAAAAACUCCCACCCAAACCCUCCGGUGCGUCCUGCGUCUGGCUCUUUCCCAAGUAUUUACAAGAAACGCUGCGCCCGCCACUUGCAAUAACAGAGAGCUUGAGAUUAAAAUAAUAUUUAAGAUUCUCUUCCCGCGUCGUGUUUAAUAUUUGACUGGUGACAAGGAGAAACAGCCUCGGCUAUGGAAAACUGGAUGACAGAGAGGGCGAGAAAUGUGGGAAACAGCCCGGAGAGGGUUUCCAUAUAAUUCCGUAUAAAAACUCUUCAUCUGACCUAAAAGACUCGAGAAGGAAACUACUGGAGAAUGAGGUGGUAAUGAAGUAAAAAACACAAGAGAAGAAAGACCUACCUAAAGCAAAAACAAAGCAAGUAGAGUAGGUUUUUGACCAAUCUAUGUAAGGAUUUUUUCCCUUCUCGCCCAACUCGGUUGUAAAUAGAGGUGCACUGUUUGAAAAUUGUAUUAUUUUUUUCCUUUUUCUUUUAAACUUCCAUUGAAUAUACUCGAGUAUAAGCCUAGUUUUUCAGCCCUCUUUUUAAGACUGAAAAAGUUCCCCUCGGUUUAUACUCAGAUGAGGGUCCUGGUUGGCUUAUAUUUGGGUCAGCUUAUACUCGAGAAUAUAUGGUACAUUUAUUAUUUUUCUCUAUUAUGAUUGGUAUUAUUACAUUUAUUAUUUUCCUCUAUUAUUGUUGCUACUAUUACAUUUAUUUUACUCUAUUUUUAUUAUUAUUAAUACAUUUAUUAUGUCACUCUGAUCUUAUUAUUAUUACAUUUAUUAUUUUACUCUAUUUAUUAUUACAUGUAUUAUUUUCCUGUAUUUAUUAUUACAGUAGAGUCUCAUUUAUCCAACACUCGUUUAUCCAACAUUCUGGAUUAUCCAACGCAUUUUUGUAGUCGAUGUUUUCAAUACAUCGUGAUAUUUUGGUGCUAAAUUCGUAAAUACAGUACUUACUACAUAGCAUUACUGUGUAUUGAACUACUUUUUCUGUCAAAUUUGUUGUAUAACAUGAUGUUUUGGUGCUUAAUUUGUAAAAUCAUAACCUAAUUUGAUGUUUAAUAGGCUUUUCCUUAAUCCCUCCUUAUUAUCCAAGAUAUUCGCUUAUCCAAGCUUCUGCCGGCCUGUUUGGCUUGGAUAAGUAAGACUCUACUGUAUUGACAUAAAGCUCAAAUUUAAGAUAAGACUGUCCAACUCUGAUCAAAUCAUGAUUCUCAUCUUCUUCAUUGUAAAUGUGCUAUGUAUCCUUUUAAUAAUAAUAGAGUAAAAUAAUACAUGUAAUAAUAAUAAUAAAUACAGGAAAAAUAAUACAAGUAAUAACAAAUAGAGUAAAAUAAUAAUUGCAACAAUAAUAAUGAGAUCAGAGUGAAAUAGUAAAUGUAUUAUUAUUAUUAAUAAUAAAAUAGAGUAAAAUAAAUGUAAUACAGUAGAGUGUCACUUAUCCAACACUCGCUUAUCCAACGUUCUGGAUUAUCCAACGCAUUUUUGUAGUCAAUGUUUUCAAUAUAUCGUGAUAUUUUGGUGCUAAAUUCAUAAAUACAUUAAUUACUACAUGGGCUUACCGCUAUAUUGAACUACUUUUUCUGUCAAAUUUGUUGUAUAACAUGAUGUUUUGGUGUUUAAUUUGUAAAAUCAUAACCUAAUUUGAUGUUUAAUAGGCUUUUCCUUAAUCCCUCCUUGUUAUCCAAGAUAUUCGCUUAUCCAAGCUUCCUGUUUAUGUCGGAUAAGUGAGACUCUACUGCAGGGGUCCCCAAACUAAGGCCCGGGGGCCGGAUGCGGCCCUCCAAGGUCAUUUACCUGGCCCCUGCCCUCAGUUUUAUAAUAUAAUAUUUUUAUAUCAGUUUUAAUAUUAUAAUAUAUUGUAUAUACAUAUAAUAUUGAUAAAAUAUUAUUGUGUUAUACAAUAUAAUACUAAUAAUACCAUAUAAUAAUAUUAAUUAUAUGUUAUAUAUUACAUAUAAUAUUACAGUAUAGUGGUGUAGUUGAAUAUGAUGAUAUAUAAUGCUAAUAUUGUGCUAUGCUAAUAAUAUAAUAUAUUGUACAUACAGCUGCUCCAAGUCCCCUUUGGGGUGAGAAGGGCAGGAUAUAAAUGUAGUAAAUAAAUGUAGUAAAUGAAUAAAUAAAUAAUUUUUGACUUAGGCUCGCCCAAAGUCUGAUAUGACUUGAAGGCACACAACAACAACAACAAUCCUAAUUAACUUGACUAUCUCACUGGCCAGAAGCAGGACCCACACUUCCCAUUGAAAUCCUGAUAGGCUUAUGUUUAUUAAAAUUGUUUUCAUUUUUAAAUAUUGUAUUGUUCUUUCAUUGUUGUUGUUCUUAUUGUUUUUCAUUACAAAUAAGACAUUUGCAGUGUGCAUAGGAAUUUGUUGGAUAUUUUUUUUCAAAUGAUAAUUCGGCCCCUCAACAUUCUGAAGGAUUGUGGACCGGCCGUCUGCUUAAAAAGUUUGAGAACCCCUGCUCUACUGUAUUACAUUUAUUAUUUUACUCUAUUAUUAUUAAAAGGAUACAUAAGGGCAUUUACAUUGAAGAAGAUGAGAAUAAUGAUUUAAUCAGAGUUGGACAGUCUGCCCGUUUAGCUUGGAUAAGUGAGACUCUACUGUACUUACAUCAAGCUCAAAUUUAAGAUAAGACUGUCCAACUCUGAUCAAAUCAUGAUUCUCAUCUUCUUCAAUGUAAAUGUGCUUAUGUAUCCUUUUAAUAAUAACAGAGUAAAAUAAUACAUGUAAUAAUAAUAAUAAUAAUAAUAAUAAUAAUAAUAAUAAUAAUAAAUACCGGAAAAUAAUACAUGUAAUAAUAGAGUAAAAUAAUAAUUGCAACAAUAAUAAUGAGAUCAGAGUGAAAUAGUAAAUGUAUUAUUAAUAAUAGCAAAAAAUAGAGUAAAAUAAAUGUAAUAGUAGCAACGAUAAUAGUGAAAAAUAAUAAAUGUAAUAAUACCAAUAAUAAUAGAGAAAAAUAAUAAAUGUACCAUAUAUUCUCGAGAAUAAGCUGACCCAAAUAUAAGCCAACCAGGACCCUCACCCGAGUAUAAGGGGACUCUUUUGAUCUUUUUAUCAAGUUCUUUUGUGCUGGCUUUCACUUCGCAUGUGCUCCUUCUCACCUGUGUGUGUGUGUGUGGCAUUUUCCUUAAUGAAAAACACGUUGGGCUUCACAAACACACGUUUACCCUUCCCUUUGCUAAGUUGAGGACUAAUUUAAUCCAUGCUGCAAGGGGGAACCUCAGUGUAUUUUUACAGUUUCUGUCAUUUGAGGCUUACCUGGCAUCUGCGAGCAAAGGGACUUUUAUACUAUCUGAGCCGGGCUGUUUAUCUUUCCAAAUGCACCAGGAUUUUCCACUAUUACUCAGGGCCCAGAUUGCUCCACCGGCCUUGCAACAGGCCUGGCCUGUGUGCAACGGAAGGGAGAGAAGUCUGGACAGAAGUGCACAGGAAUGUGGAGCCGCAAUAGGUGAGGAGGCCAAAGAGUAAGGCCCAGGGUUUGCUCCUUGAUAAUGCCUUCAUCUUGAAGACCAAAAUCCACUGCUUGUGGUGAUAUGAAAAUCAUCAAACAAACUCACUUAUAUUGGCCAAACAAGCAGAGAGAUCAAGCUCAGAAUCAUUGAACACAAGAGUAAGAUCAGGAAACAUUCCAUGGAUUCUAUACUAUACAAGCAUUUUAUGGAUCUGAACCAUAGCCCUGAAUCUUUUCAAGUACAGAUUUUAGAGGUGGUCACUCCACCCAGAGACAUGGAUUUCCAAACUAAACUGUUACAACGGGAAUCCUUGCAAUCCGGCAAUGGGGCCGGGCUGUGGCACAGCUGGCUAGUAACCAGCUGCUAUAAAUCACUACUGACCGAGAGGUCAUGAGUUCGAAGCCCGGGUCGGGUUAAGCCUCCGACCAUAAAAAAAAAAAAUAGCCCCGGCUUGCUGUUGACCUAGCAGCCCCGAAAGACAGUUGCAUCUGUCAAGUAGGGAAAAUUUAGGUACGCUUUAUGCGGGAGGCUAAUUUAACUAAUCUACAACACCAUAAAACUGCUCACGAGGAAAAGAAUGAGGAAGAACAGCCACCAAUGGACGGUGAAGCAACAGCUCCCUCUGUGGCCGGAAUCGUGAAGCUGGAAAGAUGUUAAAAUGCCUCUGUGUCUGUCUAAAACUGAAUGUUGUUUGUCUGUUGGCAUUGAAUGUUUGCCAUAUAUGUGUUCAUUGUAAUCCGCCCUGAGUCCCCUUCGGGGUGAGAAGGGCGGAAUAUAAAUACUGUGAAUAAAUAAAAUAAAUAAAUCCUUCUGGAUCUUUACCCUGCAAACGGAACAUCCAAAAGGACUAAAUAACACCAAUCAUAUGAAUGUUUUUUGUAACAAUGUAGGUUUUACCUCCAUGUAUUUUGAACCAAUAAAGAAAUCAUCAUCACCUGAUCAAUGGAUUAACUGUAUAAGUAAUGGUAUGAGCCAUUUCCACCCUUUACUCGCCACAGAAUAAAACUCCUUGCAGAGCACAUGGAGCAAUAAAGACAAGCUGUGAGUAUUAUAGUCGUUUUUUGGGUUCACAGAAUUUGUAUUCUAUAUAUGUUCUAUUAUUCAUGUCAUAAUGUAAUGCUACCUUUAGCCACUAUCUAUGUCCCCUUAGGAUCCACCUACCCAGAAAACUGAUGGUGAACUUCUCACCUUAAAAGUUGAACCUUUUCUGUUUAUUUAAACCCAACCGCCUGACAAAGACUCCUGUGAGUCGAAACCGGUUGCAGGUUUGAGUCAAGUUAUAUGGAAACUGAAGUCUACUCAUAUAAUCAAGAACAGGACAUUUACUCACAUGAAAAACUUGUCCUUAUACUUCAAGAGAAGAACCGCUGAUUUCUACUUAUAUGCGAUUGGGACAGUCCUGUUUUUUGGAUAUACAUUGAGAUUUUUGGAUAUACAUUGAGUUUGUUUGAUUAUUUUCAUAUCACCACAAGCAGUGGAUUUUGGUCUUGAUAGUUUACGGGAACCCAUUGUCCUUUUAGGUAUUACUCAAUGCCUUCAUCUUGCCAUCCCCUCCUGCCUUUUUGAGAUAAAAAUCCCGAGCGGUGGGCUAUUUGUCGUUUAAAGAAAGACUUUGCAUGGUGGUAAAAAGCAUCAUGAGCCCCCGGUGGUGCAGCAUGUUAAAGCGCUGAGCUGCUAAACUUGCGGACCAAAAGGUUCGAAUCCGGUGUGCGGAGUGAGCUCCCACUGUUAGCCCCAGCUUCGGCCAACCUAGUAGUUCGAAAAUAUACACGUGAGUAGAUUAAUAGGAAGGUAACAGCACUCCAGCAGGAAGGUAACAGCACUCCAUGCAGUCAGGCACAUGACUACAGAAAACGCCGGCUCUUCGGCUUAGAAAUGGAGGUGGUACUUGAGGCAUAAGUUCCAAUGAAUCAUUUGGGCCACAUAGUUGUUUCUCUGUUUGUAGUCUGUCUGUGCGAUUUUCUUACAGCAGCUGAGAAUAUGAUCAAUGGUUUCGUUGGUUUCCUUGCACAGUCUGCAUUUUGGGUCAUCAACUGAUUUUUUGAUCCUGGCCUGAAUUGCCUUUGUUCUGAUGGCUUGCUCCUGGGCUGCAAGGAUCAGGCCUUCUUCAGGGUCCCAAUCGUGAGCCAGAGCCAGGUCUUCUCCUUAUCAGCUUUUCCUUCAAUUUUGUCAAGGAACUUUCCAUGCAAUGUUUUGUUGUGCCAGCUGUCAGCUCUAGUUUGUAGUGCGGUUUUCUUGUGCUGGUUUUUUGUCUGCUGUGCUUUGAGGAGUUUCUGAUCUUUGUUUCACUUUGCUUCACAUAUUCUGCCAGGGCAUGUUCAUUAUUAUUAUUAUUAUUAUUAUUAUUAUUAUUAUUAUUAUUAUUUACAGUAUUUAUAUUCCGCCCUUUUGACCCCAAAGGAGACUCAGGGCCGAUCACAAUACUCAUAUAUAUGGCAAACAUUAAAUACCAUUAGACAUAUGACAUCUAGACCAGUGGUUCUCAAACUUAUUUGGCCUGCCGCCUCCUUUCGAGGAAAGGGGGUGUGGCUUAGAGGGGUUUGUAGCUCUAGUUUGUAGUGCAGUUUUCUUGUACUGGUUUUUUGUCUGCUGUGCUUUGAGGAGUUUCUGAUUUUUGACUUCAAUCAAAGCAGGUUCUUCACUUUCAAUAAAAAUUAUUAUUAUUAUUAUUA